UACGAAGGGGGGCUAGCGUUGCUCGGAAUUACUGGGCGUAAAGGGCGCGUAGGCGGUCUCGGUAAGUCCUGUGUGAAAUCCCCCCGGCCCAACUGGGGAACUGCACAGGAAACUGCGGGACUUGAGUUCGGGAGAGGGAAGCGGAAUUCCGGGUGUAGCGGUGAAAUGCGUAGAUAUCCGGAGGAACACCGGUGGCGAAGGCGGCUUCCUGGACCGACACUGACGCUGAGGCGCGAAAGCUAGGGGAGCAAACAGG
rnacentral:rRNA from 1 species